CCUACGGGAGGCAGCAGUGGGGAAUAUUGGGCAAUGGACGCAAGUCUGACCCAGCAACGCCGCGUGAAGGAAGAAGGCUUUCGGGUUGUAAACUUCUUUUAAGGGGGAAGAGCAGAAGACGGUACCCCUUGAAUAAGCCACGGCUAACUACGUGCCAGCAGCCGCGGUAAUACGUAGGUGGCAAGCGUUGUCCGGAUUUACUGGGUGUAAAGGGCGUGCAGCCGGAGAGACAAGUCAGAUGUGAAAUCCACGGGCUCAACCCGUGAACUGCAUUUGAAACUGUUUCCCUUGAGUGUCGGAGAGGUAAUCGGAAUUCGUAGUGUAGCGGUGAAAUGCGUAGAUAUUAGGAAGAACACCAGUGGCGAAGGCAGAUUACUGGACGAUAACUGACGGUGAGGCGCGAAAGCGUGGGGAGCAAACAGGAUUAAAUACCCGAGUAGUC
rnacentral:rRNA from 1 species